rnacentral:lncRNA from 1 species
CGAGCCGUCGACGCCGCCGGCAAUUCGUCGCGGUGCAGAGUGCCGACGCUGAUCUAUCCUCGGCGAGGCGGCGACCGGGACGACUCCCUCGACUUCUCCCCAUCCGGCCGGCGAUCGCCAGUCACCAUCUCCGCCAACGCCAACGAGGCAACAUCUCAUGGUGAGACAGGAAAAUUGGAAAUGCCUGUGGUUGCUGCGAGUCUAGCUUGCAAUACUAUAAAAAGGGUCUCUAACUGUGGGAACGUCACAUCAGAAUCGCAAAUCUUCUCCAACCCAUCCAGAUACAAGAAUUUGAGUUUAAUGAGGAAUCCAAGACACCUGGGCACUUCAGAUAUUGAAAAAUUGUAUGACAAAUUGAGGUACUCCAAAUUUGUUAAGGAGCAUAGUUCUUCUGGUAUUUUCUCGAGUUUGUUCCAGCUCAAAUCAAGGGGAAAUGGGAUGCCUACUUCUUUUGGGUCAAGAAUCUCCCUGAGGUCAUCCACCAACAGAAGGAAACUUCUUUUCUCAAGGAAUUUCGAAAUCCUGGUAACAAGUUUUGCGUCACGGUCGUCUUGGUUUAUCCCCAGCCUCCUUGCAAUCUGUUCCCUGAUGUUUCUUGAGGCCGUGACAAAAAUGACAAACUGA